rnacentral:rRNA from 1 species
CGGCGUGCCUAAUACAUGCAAGUAGAACGCUGAAGAGAGGAGCUUGCUCUUCUUGGAUGAGUUGCGAACGGGUGAGUAACGCGUAGGUAACCUGCCUUGUAGCGGGGGAUAACUAUUGGAAACGAUAGCUAAUACCGCAUAACAAUGGAUGACACAUGUCAUUUAUUUGAAAGGGGCAAAUGCUCCACUACAAGAUGGACCUGCGUUGUGUUAGCUAGUAGGUGAGGUAACGGCUCACCUAGGCGACGAUACAUAGCCGACCUGAGAGGGUGAUCGGCCACACUGGGACUGAGACACGGCCCAGACUCCUACGGGAGGCAGCAGUAGGGAAUCUUCGGCAAUGGGGGCAACCCUGACCGAGCAACGCCGCGUGAGUGAAGAAGGUUUUCGGAUCGUAAAGCUCUGUUGUAAGUCAAGAACGAGUGUGAGAGUGGAAAGUUCACACUGUGACGGUAGCUUACCAGAAAGGGACGGCUAACUACGUGCCAGCAGCCGCGGUAAUACGUAGGUCCCGAGCGUUGUCCGGAUUUAUUGGGCGUAAAGCGAGCGCAGGCGGUUUGAUAAGUCUGAAGUUAAAGGCUGUGGCUCAACCAUAGUUCGCUUUGGAAACUGUCAAACUUGAGUGCAGAAGGGGAGAGUGGAAUUCCAUGUGUAGCGGUGAAAUGCGUAGAUAUAUGGAGGAACACCGGUGGCGAAAGCGGCUCUCUGGUCUGUAACUGACGCUGAGGCUCGAAAGCGUGGGGAGCGAACAGGAUUAGAUACCCUGGUAGUCCACGCCGUAAACGAUGAGUGCUAGGUGUUGGAUCCUUUCCGGGAUUCAGUGCCGCAGCUAACGCAUUAAGCACUCCGCCUGGGGAGUACGACCGCAAGGUUGAAACUCAAAGGAAUUGACGGGGGCCCGCACAAGCGGUGGAGCAUGUGGUUUAAUUCGAAGCAACGCGAAGAACCUUACCAGGUCUUGACAUCCCGAUGCUAUUUCUAGAGAUAGAAAGUUACUUCGGUACAUCGGUGACAGGUGGUGCAUGGUUGUCGUCAGCUCGUGUCGUGAGAUGUUGGGUUAAGUCCCGCAACGAGCGCAACCCCUAUUGUUAGUUGCCAUCAUUCAGUUGGGCACUCUAGCGAGACUGCCGGUAAUAAACCGGAGGAAGGUGGGGAUGACGUCAAAUCAUCAUGCCCCUUAUGACCUGGGCUACACACGUGCUACAAUGGUUGGUACAACGAGUUGCGAGUCGGUGACGGCAAGCUAAUCUCUUAAAGCCAAUCUCAGUUCGGAUUGUAGGCUGCAACUCGCCUACAUGAAGUCGGAAUCGCUAGUAAUCGCGGAUCAGCACGCCGCGGUGAAUACGUUCCCGGGCCUUGUACACACCGCCCGUCACACCACGAGAGUUUGUAACACCCGAAGUCGGUGAGGUAACCUUUUGGAGCCAGCCGCCUAAGGUGGGAUAGAUGAUUGGGGUG